UGGUUGAUCCUGCCGGAGGCUACCGCUAUUGGAGUUCGAUUAAGCCAUGCGAGUCGCGAGAAAUUAGAUUCUCGGCGUACCGCUCAGUAACACGUGGGUAACCUGCCCUAUGCUGGAUAAUAACCUCGGGAAACUGAGAAUAAUGAUCCAUAGUUCACUACGCCUGGAACGGUGAGUGGAUGAAAGCUCCGGCGGCAUAGGAUGGGCCUGCGGCGUAUCAGGUUGUAGGGGGUGUAACGUACCCUCUAGCCCUCUACGCGUACGGGUGUUGGGAGACAUAGCCCGGAGAUGGAUUCUGAGACACGAAUCCAGACCCUACGGGGUGCAGCAGGCGCGAAAACUUGGCAAUGCGAGAAAUCGUGACCAGGGAACUCCAAGUGCAUCGGGUAAGACCGGUGCUUUUCUUGACUCUAAAAAGGUCUUGGAAUAAGGGGUGGGUAAGGACGGUGCCAGCCGCCGCGGUAAUACCGGCGCCUCAAGUGGUAGUCGCUUUUAUUGGGCCUAAAACGUCCGUAGCCGGUCUGAUACAUUCGUGGGUAAAUCAACCAGCUCAACUGGUUGAAUUCUGCGAGGACGGUCAGACUUGGGACCGGGAGAGGUGUGGGGUACGCUCAGGGUAGGGGUAAAAUCCUGUCAUCCUGAGCGGACCACCUGUUGCGAAGGCGCCACACUAGAACGGAUCCGACGGUCAGGGACGAAGCCUAGGGGCACGAACCGGAUUAGAUACCCGGGUAGUCCUAGGUGUAAACGCUGUGGACUUGAUGUUGGGGGUGCUCCGAGCACUCUCAGUGUCGAAGCGAAGGUGAUAAGUCCACUGCCUGGGAAGUACGGUCGCAAGGCUGAAACUUAAAGGAAUUGGCGGGGGAGCACCGCAACCUGAGGAUUGUGCGGUUUAAUUGGAUUCAACGCCGGAA
rnacentral:rRNA from 1 species